rnacentral:rRNA from 1 species
UACGUAGGCAGCGAGCGUUGUUCGGAAUUACUGGGCGUAAAGAGUGUGUAGGCGGUGCUCUAAGUUCGGUGUGAAAUCUCCCGGCUUAACUGGGAGGGUGCGCCGGAAACUGGAGUGCUCGAACGUGGGAGAGGAAAGCGGAAUUCCUGGUGUAGCGGUGAAAUGCGUAGAUAUCAGGAGGAACACCUGCGGUGUAGGCGGCUUUCUGGACCAUUGUUGACGCUGAGACACGAAAGCGUGGGUAGCAAACAGG